UGGGGAAUAUUGGACAAUGGGCGAAAGCCUGAUCCAGCCAUGCCGCGUGUGUGAAGAAGGUCUUCGGAUUGUAAAGCACUUUAAGUUGGGAGGAAGGGCAUUAACCUAAUACGUUAGUGUUUUGACGUUACCGACAGAAUAAGCACCGGCUAACUCUGUGCCAGCAGCCGCGGUAAUACAGAGGGUGCAAGCGUUAAUCGGAAUUACUGGGCGUAAAGCGCGCGUAGGUGGUAUGUUAAGUUGGAUGUGAAAUCCCCGGGCUCAACCUGGGAACUGCAUUCAAAACUGACUGACUAGAGUAUGGUAGAGGGUGGUGGAAUUUCCUGUGUAGCGGUGAAAUGCGUAGAUAUAGGAAGGAACACCAGUGGCGAAGGCGACCACCUGGACUAAUACUGACGCUGAGGUGCGAAAGCGUGGGGAGCAAACA
rnacentral:rRNA from 1 species